UGAAGGGACGCAAAGAUGUACCAAGAUGUCCCGAAGAAGCAGCUCUCUUUAUUUUAAGGAUAUUAUCUGUAGUCUAGAAAGAGCUGAAAUGCUACAGCGAUUAAAAACUGCAGCACCGACCAUGACGUCAUUGCACAAAAGCAUUCAGCUUCACAGGGCAGGAGCUGCAGGAGGAAACCAGGAGCUGUCAGGGUUCAGUGAUGGACGCUGGUUUAGUUUUCUCACCAUGACUGAAAGGAUGAAGGCAGCUUUAACUUCACUUCCUCCUCAGGUCUUCAGGCUGCGGACACACAAAGCCCUGUGAGUAAAUGCAACACUUCCUGUUGUUCUUACGUCCUCUGCGUCACGGCGUGUAGCAAUAAUAACAUAAAAUAUUCAAUAAAUAGUAAUUUAAUCUAAGGUUAAGUGAGAAUAUCAAGU